UACGUAGGGCGCAAGCGUUGUCCGGAAUUAUUGGGCGUAAAGAGCUCGUAGGCGGCCAGUUGCGUCUGCUGUGAAAUCCCGGGGCUCAACCCCGGGCGUGCAGUGGAUACGGGCUGGCUAGAGGCAGGCAGGGGAGAACGGAAUUCCCGGUGUAGCGGUGAAAUGCGCAGAUAUCGGGAGGAACACCGGUGGCGAAGGCGGCUCACUGGCCUCAUUACUGACG
rnacentral:rRNA from 1 species